rnacentral:lncRNA from 1 species
AUGCAGAGCAUCACACUUGGAGCCGCGCGGAGCUUCACGUUUGGUGCGGAGCUUCACGCUUGGAGCCCUGCGGAGCUUCACGUCUGGAGCCACGCGGAGCUUCACGCUUGGAGCCUGCGGAGCUUCAUGUUUGGUGCGGAGCUUCACGCUUGGAGCCGUGCGGAGCUUCAUGUUUGGUGCGGAGCUUCACGCUUGGAGCCGUGCGGAGCUUCAUGUUUGGUGCGGAGCUUCACGCUUGGAGCCCUGCGGAGCUUCACGCCUGGAGCCACGCGGAGCUUCACGCUUGGAGCCUGCGGAGCUUCACGUCUGGAGCCACGCGGAGCUUCACGCUUGGAGCGCGCGGAGCUUCACGUCUGGAGCCGUGCGGAGCUUCAUGCUUGGAGCCGCGCGGAGCUUCACGUCUGGAGCCGCGCGGAGCUUCACGCUGGCAGGUCUGAAGCUGCCCGUGGUGGCGCUGAAUUCACCCGCUACUCUCAGCCCAGAGGAACUAACUGCCCCUCCUUAACACCACCACCACCAAGAAAAGUGCCUCCUGUUGGAUCAGCAAGCGCGGCUCCGCCCUCUUAAAAUGAUGCAUCCAUCAUGCGGAAUUGAAAGGUCCUGUCGCACGUCUCUCCCCUCAACCUGGACACAUGUUCAGACCAGUCCUGCUCCUGCUGCUUCCCCACAUCAUUUGAAGGUCAAACCCCUGAUUUCAGGACCCCCCUGGGGACUCCCCUGUGGAGGAAGGCUCACCGGGCACCUCUGCAUUGCCAAAUCUGUCUUGUGUCAUUUUCAAAUGUGUUUUCUUGUGGCAGUGUUACAGGAGCGGCAGGAAGGAAGGUGUUCAAUCCAUCGCACUGAAGGGAAGUUCCUGGAAAAGGGUUUUUAAUUGUGUCGUUGUCGUGUGGAAAUGAUCUACCAUUAAAACAUUCCCUCAGAAGCUUCUCACCACAUGAUUUCUUCCAGAGUUUCACCAUUCUCAUGACCCCAUGUGGAGGGGGUCACCUGAGGGUCACAGCC